rnacentral:rRNA from 1 species
UACGUAGGGUGCAAGCGUUGUCCGGAAUUAUUGGGCGUAAAGGGCGCGUAGGCGGCAAUUCAAGUCAGCUGUGAAAUCUCCGGGCUUAACUCGGAACGGUCAGCUGAUACUGCUUUGCUAGAGUACAGAAGGGGCAAUCGGAAUUCUUGGUGUAGCGGUGAAAUGCGUAGAUAUCAAGAGGAACACCUGAGGUGAAGACGGGUUGCUGGGCUGAUACUGACGCUGAGGCGCGAAAGCUAGGGUAGCAAACGGG